rnacentral:rRNA from 1 species
AUGGAAAACCUGAAGCUUGCCAAGGAGAAAAGGUGCAUUCUUCAAAGCCAAGCAGAGAUCAUUCAGAACAUGAGGAAGGCCAUCAAGGAAGUGGAGGGGGACAGGGACCUACUUAAGCAAGAGAAGAAGAAGCUCGAGUAUCUGAUUGCUGAUCUGCUCAAUGCUGGGCAUGCCAGCAAAGAUAAGCUGGAGAGGAUCAAGGCAAUUAUGAAUGAGUGA